CAGGAAGCUCGAAGCGAGCGGACAUGGCAACUGAAUUAAUCAAAGUUUAUUGUCUCCUUAAUUGUUAAAUAAUAACACGCAGUUGACUUCAAAGACAAGACACAUGGCCACAGACUCAUUCAUAGUUAAACUAACUCAAUGUCUUCUCGUUCAGCGUUUAGCGAAUAGCGCACUCGAAGAACUAAAGUCAACUUAAAGGGCUCUCCAGUAAGCAUCAAAAACGUAAACAUUCAACACAUCUUGAUCUCACCAGACGUAAACUUGGGCUACACCGGCCGUGGCGUGACAUUGAACCACAAGUCUAAAGCAGUAAUGUCCAUACUAUGACCAUCUGCAAGCUCCACUUUAGUGACCAAGCAUAAGCUAACGGGUCGAAAAAAAGAUGAAGUCUAGUGGAGAGCUUGACCUGGCUGCUGGAUUCAAAUCUAUGCUCUGUGUCACCACAUUGACCACAUGUCUCGCCAGAUUAACCCCAUCUAACUCGCCAGACUGACCUCAUCUGUCUCGCCAGAUUGACCAUAUCUAUUUUGCCAGACUGACCUUAUCUGUCUCUCCAAACAGACCUCUUAGGGACUGAAACUAUUUCACACCUUCAAUCAAAUAAUAAUGUUAAUAACAAAGUGGACAAGCCGAUCUUGAUCAAUCUAUUCGUAUAGCAAAGCUUCCUUCAUAUCAGUAACACUUUAACAGGUAUCUUGUACAUGCUACACAAGCUGUUUCAGCUAGUUAAAAAGAUUUUAAUGUAUUUUACUGUUAGUAUUGAUUUACUGUGUUCUAAAUCAGAGAAAGAAUUGUUAUUCUAUGGUCAUUCCACGCAAAUGGACUUGUAUGUGCUGACAUAGUGUUAUAUGUGUAUAAUGGUGUGCAGUUUCAUAUUCCUAAUGCAUUACAUUCACAACGGCUUUUCAAUGUUAGAAAUAAGAUGGAAAAUGUUUUGAGAACAAUGCAUUGGGCUAUAGACAAACAUUGAAAUCAAAGUCACAAGCUAACUUUUCAGUUGAAGAAGAAAUACGUUGUGUAAGAACCAAUCAUGAAAUUGUGUCAGUCAGUAGAAUUGUUGGUUCGCUAUUCUUUUUUUAAAUUCGAUUUCGUUUUAAUCUUCGUAUUUAAUUAUAUUGGUACAGUCUAUUACCUUUCUGCUGCUACAUCUUAAGAUAUCUAUGAGUAUUACAGAUGGAACAAUAAAUGGAAGAAAGAAAUUUUUAUGUUGUAAGUUCUAUGUAUUGACAGAGGAUUAAAUAAAACAAUUUAAUUA
rnacentral:sRNA from 1 species